rnacentral:lncRNA from 1 species
AGCUGCAACACACACGGCCCAACCCCCCAUCAUCAUCUUCUUCGACACACCCAGCCCCAACGCCCACUGCCCCGCCAAACACACCCAAGCAACCCCCCUCCUCCUCAGAGCCCCAUCCCCAUCGUCCCUCAAUCCAGCUGCGUCGCCGGACCACGCUACUCCACGCUUCACGAACCACCCAAACCCCUUUGAACCAUCAAACGACCCCUCCCCUUCCCGUCAUCUUAACGAUCACAACAACCUCCCUCGCCACUGCCCGUCUCCGACCCCUCCAGUCACGACGAGCAGCCCCUCAGCUCCAGCCAUCUCUCAUCGUUCAACCAACAGAAAACAACCACCCAAGUCGACUCCAUCGUCGACCUCCAUGAACGACGAGCAGCAACUUCUAUCAAAACGAUCCUUACCUCGUCGACCAGCAGCCAUAACUCCCCUUGCUGGUUCAUCUUCUUCUGCUUCAGUCGAAGCUCCAUGAACAACCACUGUCG